UACGAAGGGGGCUAGCGUUGCUCGGAAUUACUGGGCGUAAAGCGCACGUAGGCGGAUUGUUAAGUCGGGGGUGAAAUCCUGGAGCUCAACUCCAGAACUGCCUUCGAUACUGGCGAUCUCGAGUCCGGAAGAGGUAAGUGGAACUCCUAGUGUAGAGGUGGAAUUCGUAGAUAUUAGGAAGAACACCAGUGGCGAAGGCGGCUUACUGGUCCGGUACUGACGCUGAGGUGCGAAAGCGUGGGGAGCAAACAGG
rnacentral:rRNA from 1 species